AGAAGGAGAAAGAGAAGGAGAAAGAGAAGGAGAAGGAGGAGGAGAAGGAGAAGGAGAAGGAGAAAGAGAAGGAGAAGGAUACGGUGAAAGAGAUGGAGAUAGACACCAGCGCUAGUGAACAAAUAAAUGUUAAAGUCGAGAGCUUGGAAGGAUCUGACCCAACUGAAACCGACAGCACUCCGUCCAAAGAUCCUGUAGAUAAGAAGGAAUGAACAGCAGGAGGAGGGACAAUCAACCAGCCAACUGUGAAGAAAGAAAGGGCCACCACAUCAGUACCUGUGCCCGUAUGCCCUCUUAAACCGGGGGACCGGAGGCACAAGAACGAGUCAUUCACCAUGACAUAACUCAUUCCCCUAUUUUACAUUACUUUUUAAUUACUUUUUGAAUCUUUAUUAUAAUGAAAUGAUGUCAUCUGUCAUCAAUGAAAUUCAUAAUCAAUCAAUCUUUAUUACAGAAUCGGUCAUUCAUUAAAUGAUUCAUCGAUCAAAUUUGAAUAUGGAUGUAAAAAAAGAAACAUGAUAGAGGACUGUAACAUAUCAAACUGAUGCGAUACCUGGCAGUCUGUUAGAUCUAACUACUACUACUACUACUACUACUACUACUCCUACUGCUCCUGCUACUACUACUACAACUCCCACUACCACUCCUGCUACUACUCCUA